rnacentral:misc_RNA from 1 species
GAGAGAGAGAGAGAGAGAUUAAUUUCUUAUUUGAUUCAGAAUGAUCGUCUGCAAGUAUGAGUCAGCUAUUUAUUGACUUUUCCUAACGGAUUCCAUAAAUGACUCCAGCUAAACAUUCUCUUCCCUCAUAUUUCUAAACUUCUUUCUCUAGUAUGUUACAACAAUACAUUCGACUUGUUUAUGCUUCAAGAAAGGCACUACCUUAGUAACUUCUUGAAUAGCGUCUGCAAAUUCUACCUUUGUUGAAAACA